AAGUCGUAACAAGGUUUCCGUAGGUGAACCUGCGGAAGGAUCAUUACCGAGUUAGGGUCUUCUAGGCCCGACCUCCCAACCCUGUGUCUAUCUAACCUUUUGUUGCUUCGGCGAGCCCGUCCCCUGGGGACCGCCGGAGGACCCCUAAAGUCCUCUGGCCCGCGCCCGCCGAUGGCCCAAAACCACAAACUCUUUGAACUAAACAUGAAUUGUCUAAGUACCACAUUUAAAUAAAACAAAACUUUCAACAACGGAUCUCUUGGUUCUG
rnacentral:misc_RNA from 1 species